rnacentral:rRNA from 1 species
UUAUUUGAAAUAGGAUACAACCUCCAACACUGGGUAAAGUGUAGUGGUCCAAACAAAGUGGGCCUAAAAGCAGCCACCUUUCAAAAAGCGUCAUAGCUUAACUUCCCUCACACUCCAAUUCGUAAAAUCACCCUCAACCCUUAAUUAGUACUGAACUAUUUUAUAUUUUUAUAAAAAUAAUUAUGCUAGAACUAGUAACAAGAAAUUGCCCUUCUCCCAAUGCAAGUAUAAAUCAAAACGACACCCCAAUGAUAAUUAACGUAAAUGCAAAAAAUAUAGUAACAUAUAUCUAGAAAACUCUAUAAUUUCAAACGUUAACCUUACACCAGAGCAUUACAGGAAAGAUUUAAAGAGAAAGAAGGAACUCGGCAAACUUCAGCCCCGCCUGUUUACCAAAAACAUCGCCUCUUGAUCCCCAUAAGAGGUCUAGCCUGCCCAGUGACAAAGUUCAACGGCCGCGGUAACCUAACCGUGCAAAGGUAGCAUAAUCACUUGUUCUCUAAAUAGGGACUCGUAUCAAUGGCAUCACGAGGGCUUCACUGUCUCCUUUCUCCAAUCAGUGAAACUGAUCUCCCCGUGAAGAAGCGGGGAUUUUAAU